AGCCGGCGCUCGGGCGGCCGGGCCGGGCCUGACGGGGUGGCGGCGCCAGGGGCCGCGGCCGGCCGGGGAGGCGGGCUGAGGCUCGGCGCCCCGGCCCCAGGCAGGCCCCGUCCCUCGGGGAAGCGAGCGCCCGGUGGCCUCGCUUCCCGGCCCACCUCCCUUUGGAAACCCCGAGAAGCCGGGCCCGCCCGGCGCUGUUUACGCGGGCGCGGAAUUAGGAGCUGCCCUGCCUUUCCACCGUGUCAUUGUUUCCUGAUUAUUCCUGCUGGAAUUACCAUUGGGUUAAAACCGAGCCGUGCGCGCGUGGAACAGCCCUCGCGAGCUGGGGUCUGCUCGGCUUAUCCGGGUCGGGGGGGGCAGGCGCGAUCUCCAGCGCACACCGCCGCGGGGUCCCCCUUCAGCGCCUCCGGGUGUCAGCCCCGAGGCGGCGCCUUCCCCUCCCGGCCCUGGGAGGACACAAACCAGCAGCUGCGGGAGGAAGGGAGGGGCUCCUCCGGGACGGCUGGAGCCCCGAGCCCCACACCCCGCGCUGAGAGAAGGAGAUCGCGGUAGGGGUAGGGCUUGCCACCUGCUGUGCCUUGCCUUGGUCGACCCCGGGGCGGCCUGGACGUGGGUUCCCUUACUGGGAGACGGGACAGGUCCAUACUUUGCACCCUGCUGUCUUCUUGUUCGGCGGAUCGCAAUGACCUGUUGAGGAUUUUGAGGGGCUGUGACAUCGCCUGCGACAGACUUAGGAGGAAACGAGCCCAGCGAGCUGAAGGAGGCUGGGAAGAUGCUGCAAAUGGGGAUGGAACUCAGGAUCGUCUGACCCGAAGAUGGACAGUCCAACACCCCCUUCCUUCACUGUUGUGUUUUAAUCGGACUUCUUAGGGAUUAAAGAAUGAUGGACAGUUAACUCGAGCUAUACGCCUGGAAUAGUACUUGCAUGUUAAUACACAUCUUCAGUAAAUAUUAUAUUGAAUUGAUAUGAUCA